CGACACUUCCAUCUGCAGACCCCACACCCCCAUCCACAGAGAACAAUUUCUUCACUGAUUAUGAUCUAUUGACGUCAUCGGACUACAUACAAAGCAUUUCUCCUGCUACAAUUAAAUUAGUAGAAAUGAUUGGCAUCGUUCAUCUUGUUAAUGAAGCCGAGACUGUUACAUGUAAAAAUGGUUCGCAAAAUGAAGUUUGUACCUUCUAUAUACAUAAUAAUGAUGGUGAGAUUGUGCAAUGUGUUAUGUGGGGUGAGACGAUCAACAAAUUCCUCGAUCAGUUAUUGGUGCAACAUGUUAUCCACAUUGAUGGAGCGUACCCGAAGUACGUCAAGGAUCAAUAUAAUUCCGGAACAGCUCCCUAUGAAUUAAUCAUCCAAUCAAAUACAGAAAUUACCGUUUUGGAAAAGUUUCAACCCAUACAACGUUCUCUAUCCACUCCUCCUCAAGUCAUUUCCCUGAUUGAUCUUCCAACAUGUAAAAAAAUUGUUGCUAUCAAGGGAUUUGUUAAAACUUCUUGAGCCGUCAUCGAAAAACAAAUGAACAGUACUGGGAACACUUGCUAUUGAUCUAUCGCUGCGGAUAAAUAUUUUGUUGAUGUGAAAAUUUCCGAUUUUCCCGCUAACUACACUUGCCCAUAUACAAAAGGCCAACAUGUCCAAUGUGUGGAACAACUGAUAAGACACGGGAAUUCCUUCUUUUUUGGCAUUCAAGGCCCUGGAUGCAUUUCUCUCGUGGAUGAAACGAAGGCAAUUCUCAACGAUCCCUUAUUGUGUAAACCACUGAUGAUUCUCAAUCAAUCAACUUCCAAUCAGGGUGGAGCUGAAUCGUCGCAACCAAAGAAAUUGAAGAGGAGCGAAUUAUUUGCAAAGAGAUUC